rnacentral:rRNA from 1 species
UACGUAGGGCGCAAGCGUUAUCCGGAAUUUAUUGGGCGGUAAAGAGCUCGUAGGCGGUUUGUCGCGUCUGCCGUGAAAGUCCGGGGCUCAACUCCGGAUCUGCGGUGGGUACGGGCAGGACUAGAGUGAUGUAGGGGAGACUGGAAUUCCUGGUGUAGCGGGUGAAAAUGCGCAGAUAUCAGGAGGAACACCGAUGGCGAAGGCAGGUCUCUGGGCAUUAACUGACGCUGAGGAGCGAAAGCAUGGGGAGCGAAC